GAGCCUCGGGUUCAACCCGCGUCUGACAUCUGUGAGGGUAGUUUAUCUUUGUUCUGGCAAGUGCGGGGUCUUGCUUUACUUGUAAGUUGAUUAGUGUCUCGGACCCGGAACCCACACCCGCGUUGAUUAAAACUGAGUUUACAUUCCUGCCCUCCCCGAUUUUUCUGCUACCGCUGUUUUCACAUGCCAGGUUCACUUCAGCCCCCAAAUGGAUCUACAUUGUCACCUUGGUGCUCCAUCUCAACCCACAUAAGACUUCCUGCUCUUCCAAACUCCCAAAAGGUGCUAACUCCUAGCUUGAGAAGCAUAGUACUUAGGGACCAGGAAUCCAACCUGCUGGAUCUACCAGAAAAUGCUACCCUAAGGAGAAAUGGAGGAAAAGGAGGAAAAUUUGGAAGAUGAUUCAAAGAAGGGAGGAGAAAGGGUUUUCAUUAAAAGAAUUUAUGCCCUUAAUAAAGAUCAGAGCAGAAACAAAUAAAAUGGAGAAGAAUAAAACAAUAGAAAGAAUCAUUGAAACCAGGAGCUGGUUCUUUCAGAAAAUAAGCAAAAGAGAUAACCCCCUAGCCAGACUUAUCAAGAAAAAAAGAGAGUGUACUCACAUAAACAGAAUCAGAAAUGAGAAAAGAAAAAUCACUACAGACACCACAGAAAUACAAAAAAUUAUUAGAGAAUACUAUGAUAAUUAUAUGCUAAUAAAUUGGAUAACCUAGAAGAAAUGGACAACUGUCUAGAAAAAUACAAUCUUCCAAGACUAACUCAAGAAGAAACAGAAAAUCUGAACAGACCAAUUACCAGCAAUGAAAUUGAAUUGGUAUCAAAAACUACCAAGAACAAAAGUCCUGGACCUGAUGGCUUCACCGCUGAAUUUUAUCAAACAUUUAGAGAAGACCUAAUACCCAUCCUUCUUAAAGUUUUCCAAAAAGUAGAAGAGGAGGGAAUACUUCUAAACUCAUUCUGUGAGGCCAGCAUCACUCUAAUACCAAAACCAGACAAAGAUACCACAAAAAAGGAAAAUUACAGACCAAUAUCCCUGAUGAACAUAGAUGCAAAAAUACUCAACAAAAUAUUAGCAAACCAAACUCAAAAAUACAUCAAAAAGCUCAUCCAUCAUGAUCAAGUGAGAUUUAUUCCAGGGAUGCAAGGCUUACAAUAUUUGAAAAUCUAUCAACAUCAUCCACCACAUCAACAAAAAGAAGGACAAAAAUGAUCCUUUCAAUAUGAUCAUCUCAAUAGAUGCUGAAAAAGCAUUUGACAAAAUUCAACAUCCAUUCAUGAUAAAAACUCUCAAAAAAAUGGGUAUAGAGGGCCAAUACCUCAACAUAAUAAAGGCCAUAUACAACAAACCAACAGCCAACAUCCUACUUAACAGCAAAAAGCUGAAAGCUUUUCCUGUAUGAGUGGGAACAAGACAAGGAUGCCUACUCUCAUCUUUUAUAUUCAACAUAGUUCUGGAGGUCCUAGCCACAGCAAUCAGACAACACAAAGAAAAAAAAGUUAUCCAUAUUGGUAAGGAAGAAGUUAAACUGUCACUGUUUGCAGAUGACAUGGUAUUGUACAUAAAAAACCCUAAAGAAUCAACCCCAAAACUACAAGGACUAAUAACUGAAUUCAGCAAAGUUGCAGGCUACAAAAUUAAUACACAGAAAUCUGUUGCAUUCCUAUAUACUAAUGAUGAACUAGCAGGAAGAGAAUUCAGGAAAACAAUUCCAUUUACAAUUGCAUCAAAAAGAAUAAAAUACCUAACAAUAAACCUAAUCAAGAAGGUGAAAGACCUAUAGCCUGAAAACUACAAGACAGUCAUGAGAGAAAUUAAAGAAGACACCAAUAAAUAGAAACACAUCCUGUGCUCAUGGAUAGGAAGAAUUGAUAUUGUCAAAACGGUCAUCCUGCCUAAAGCAAUCUAUAGAUUCAGUGCAAUCCCUAUCAAAAUACCAACAACAUUCUUCAAUGAAUUAGAACAAAUAGUUCUAAACUUCAUAUGGAACCACAAAAGACCCCGAAUACCAAAGCAAUCCUGAGAAAGAAGAACAAAUCUGGAGGGAUUACCUCCCUACCUUCAAACUCUGCUAUGAAGUCACAGUAAUCAAAACAAUUCGGUACUGGCACAACAACAGACCCAUAGAUCAAUGGGACAGAAUAGAGAACCCAAAUAUAAACUCACACAUAUAUGGCUAAUUAAUAUACAAUAAAGGAGCCAUGGAUAUACAAUGAAGAAAUGACAGCCUCUUCAACAAAUGGUGUUGGCAAAACUGGACAGCUACAUGUAAGAGAAUGAAACUGGAUUAUUGUUUAACCUCAUACACAAAAGUAAACUCUAAAUGGAUCAAAGACCUGGAUGUAAUUCAUAAUCCAUAAAACUCAUAGAAGAAAACAUAGGCAAAAAUCUCUUGAAUAUAAACAUGAGCAACUUCUUCCUGAACACGUCUCCUCAGCAAGGGAAACAAAAGCAAAAGUGAACAAGUAGGACUACAUCAGAUCCCACCGUUUGCAACAACGUGGAUGGAUCUGGAGGGUAUUAUGCUCAGUGAAAUAAGCCAGGCAGAGAAAGACAAGUACCAAAUUAUUUCACUCAUUUGUGGAAUAUAACAUAACAACACAGUAAAACUGAAGGAACAAAACAGCAGCAGACUCACAGACUCCAAGAAGGGACUAGUGGUUACCAAAGGGAAGAGUGGAAGGGAGGGAGAAGGGGAUUAAGGAGCAUUAUAAUUCUCAAUCACAAUAUGGGUAGGUCAUGGGGAAGGCAGUACAACAUGGAGAAGAUGACAAACUGACAUUAAUUUCCAAACUUCUAGGUUUAAAAGACUAGAAAGCUGGCUUUCAGACUUGAUCUCCAGAAACAAGAUGUUUAUGUGAGGCUGAAGCCCCCAUUCAGGAUGAACAAUGGUUGUCAAGCAGGGUUCCCUGGGAGGGGUGACAAGAUUCUACUACCUCAGAGGAACCACUCAGGGGCCCCAUCCUGAAAUAUCUUGAUUUCAAAGAAAUCCCUGCUCUUUGAUAAACCCUCAAGCCACAUUUUCUGUUAGACAAAAAGACUCCAAUGGAUAUAGCACUCCAAGCAUGGUAAAGACUUUGACGUGAUUAGAAAUUUUGU